GAUAGAUGAUAGAUGAUGAUAGAUGAUGAUAGAUAGAUAGAUAGAUAUUCAGACCUAUCUGUCUGUCUGUCUGUCUGUCUGUCUAUCAUCAUCAUCAUCAUCAUCUAUC